rnacentral:rRNA from 1 species
CCUACGGGAGGCAGCAGUAGGGAAUAUUGGGCAAUGGGCGAAAGCCUGACCCAGCAACGCCGCGUGUACGAUGAAGGUCUUCGGAUCGUAAAGUACUUUUCUGGGAGAUGAGAAAGGACAGUAUCCCAGGAAUAAGCUUCGGCUAACUACGUGCCAGCAGCCGCGGUAAAACGUAGGAAGCGAGCGUUAUCCGGAUUCACUGGGUUUAAAGGGUGCGUAGGUGGGUUGGUAAGUCAGUGGUGAAAUCCCCGAGCUUAACUUGGGAACUGCCAUUGAUACUAUCAGUCUUGAAUACCGUGGAGGUCAGCGGAAUAUGUCAUGUAGCGGUGAAAUGCUUAGAUAUGACAUAGAACACCAAUUGCGAAGGCAGCUGGCUACUCGAAUAUUGACACUGAGGCACGAAAGCGUGGGGAUCAAACAGGAUUAGAUACCCUGGUAGUCCACGCCCUAAACUAUGGAUACUCGACAUUUGCGAUAAACUGUAAGUGUCUGAGCGAAAGCAUUAAGUAUCCCACCUGGGAAGUACGAUCGCAAGAUUGAAACUUAAAGGAAUUGACGG